GUUCACAAGAUCGAGAUUCAGAUGAACCCGGUGCAGUUCGGCAUAUACAGUCAAUAAAUUAGGAUCGUAUAUGCGCGCACGCUUCAUCAGUCCUCUAAAAAGAAGUCGAGCAUCUAUAGGCAGCCAACCGCUCACUUUUUAUCAGGAAAGGUCGUCUCGUCGUCCAUGGAGGAGGCCAAGAGGAGGCCGCGCGGCGUGCUGGACCUGGAGGCUCAGUUCGCCUUCUUCCGUUCGCAGCACCGGCACCCGGUCAACGCCGCCGCGCACGCGCUGCUCGCGGGCCCCAUCCUCUUCGGCAACCUGCUCAUCCUCUACUUCCUGCCCCUGCCCUCCCCGCUCGACCCGGCCCUCGCCCUCUCCCUCGCCUACGCCGCCUCCUACCUCGCCGUCGACCGCCGCGCCGGGGCCCUCGCCGCGCUCCUCCUCCUCGGCGCCUGGGCCGCCAGCCGCGCCCUCGCCGCCCGGCUCGGCUUCGCGCUCGCGUGGAAGGUCGUGCUGGCCACGGAGCUCUUCUGCUGGACCUGGCAGUUCCUCGGCCAUGGACUCUUCGAGAAAGGCCCAACGGUGAGUGAACUUCCGGCGGUGUUCCUGAUGGAGCCAUUCCUCAUCCUACUGCAGAUACUCAACAAGCUGUUUGGCUACGAGCCAUACCCUGGAUUCAGCAAGAACGUGGAUAAGAAGAUGGAGGCCGAUCUCAGGGAGAGCAGAGAGCUCGAGCAGAGGAAGAUCAACUAAUUGGAAAUGCUCAGGUUGAUUCAUAUAUAAGUAGCAAAGUGUGUGUGCCUACCAUUUGUGAUGUUUAUGCAUGCUGUCUUAGAUAUUUGUAGAAUAAAAUGAACAGCCGAACUUUCUGUACACGAUGAUAUUGCCUUAUUGAAGCUUCUUCUCCCAGUCGCCGGGAAGAAGAUGCGUCCUGGCUGCAGGUUUGCAGCUCCAAAUUUCAC
rnacentral:rRNA from 1 species